rnacentral:rRNA from 1 species
UGCCUGUUUUUAAAAAACAUUUCUUUUAGGAAAAUAUUAAAAGUAAUUUCUGCUCAAUGAUUAAAUUUAAAUAGCUGCAGUAUAUUGACUGUACAAAGGUAGCAUAAUAAUUAGUUCAUUAAUUGUGAACUGGAAUGAAUGAAUAUAUGAAAUGCUUGUUUUAUUUAUUUUAUUAUUAGAAUUUUAUUUUUAGGUUAAAAAGCUUAAAUAAUUUUUAGGGACGAUAAGACCCUAUAGAGGUUUAAUUUUAAUUUAAUUUUAAGUUAUUUUUGUAUAAUAUUUAUUUACUUUGAUUAUUUAGGAAUUUUUUCUGGGGCGGAUUAUAAAUUUAAACUUUAUUUUUUAUAUUCAUUUAUAUAUGAUUUUGUUGAUCCGAUAUAUUUAUUAUUCGAUUAUAAGAAAUAGCUACCUUAGGGAUAACAGCGUAAUUUCAAUGGGGAGUUCUUAUUUAUAUUGAAGUUUGCGACCUCGAUGUUGAAUUAAGAUUAGAUUUUGAGGUAGUUUUUAAUUUUCUAAGUCUGUUCGACUUUUAAAUUCUUACAUGAUCUGUUU